CAACCCGCUCAGCGUUAUCUAGCAUUUAACGGACAUUUUUCCUUCAAAACACUUUCUUGUUAUGAUUUGUAUGCAGCGAAGAUAAAAAAGCAAGUCAACGAAAUGUCUUUCCCACUUCCCCCGUAAAUACUACGAAGAAAUAGAGCAAGCAAAACAAACGUCAGACGAGCGAUCUAGUUGCGCGUCGGUUGCUAGGGAGGCUGCCUCGUGCGAAUUUAUCGUGCGAGUUACCAAGUGCGGGUUUUUAUUUCAGUGUGAUAAUUUGUUGUGUCCCUAAAAAAACGAAAACAAAAAACAUGGUUCAGCUGGGCCGGGUCGGACGGCAUGUGUGUUUAUUUGCUACCAUCAAACUGGGGUGGGCGCCUAGGCCGUUUUGUGUGUUGUGUUUGCGAAUGUGAUUUGUGCCCCACCCGGAGGAAAGCCGAUGGCUGAUCGAGCAAUCCGACAAAGAGAAAAAAAAACAACAUAACAUCCACAAGUAUACCUUGUCAUCAUGAAGACUUCAGAAACUUCCUUCCACCAUCAUGGCAUCUAGAUCAGUCCAGCUUUAUUUGUGGGUGAUUUGAUUUAUUUUGAUUUGAUUUGUUGAGUUCAAAGUUGCCACCAGCUCUCACGCGGCUCGACAAAUCGUGUGCCUGCUUCGCGUGCCAAUUCCGACGACAGCUCGACACUUCAGUGAAUAUUCCACAAAAAGUUGUACACUCUAAGCGUGGAUAGGGAGGUAAUUCAAUCAACAUAAAUUACAGUUUUGUCAAUCGUGGAGCUAAGUUUGGCAUUUGUGAUGCUUCAUAGCGAUGCAAUUCAAUGGAAGUAAAGUUUCCUGACUAAAAAUGGCAACAUCUGGCAAAAAUGGCAAAAAGAUGCUGAAAACGCAAGCUAGAACAAUGUUUGUAUCGUUGUUAAAAUGAAACGUUUGUUUUAUUUUUUGUGUACAUACUUUUCACUUUUAUAGAUGUUAAUUUAAGUAUUAGUUUUGCAAGAAGCAACAAUAAAUAAAAAUAGGAAAGAUCCGGUGGUCGAUUCCAUAAAAAAGCCGGCAUCAAGAUUA